CCGAAUUGAAGGAACAUACAAUAGAUUCCACAAGUACAUGAUAAAGAGGAGAUGAUAAAGUGGAAAUAAUACCCCUACUUACAUGUGUCUUUGGAUACAACAGGUACACGAUAAAUAAAGAUACAGAAGUCAAAAUAAAGAGAAGUUUGAAGGAGCGUAAAAGGAAUCGCAAUGCAGUUUUAUUUGAAUCCAUGUAUGCAUGUACGUGCAUUCUUGUGUUCAGUUAUGACAAAGAGGGUUAGGAGGAACGAGAAGUACCUGCUAUGCUGCUGCAUCUGGCUCUUUUCCUGGCAAGAGAAACAAAUAAAAAAUGAAUAAGGUGCAUAAAUAACAUAGUGCUGCAAUGCUAAAGGAGGAAACCAAAACAAACAUUUACGAAAUUGAUUAUGAUUAUUAGUAACUGAAUACAUUCAGAAAAAAAUAAAAACCAUUCGCAUUAGGGCUUGGCGAUAUAACUGAACCGUUAGGUCGCAAAGAUCAAGCCAUGUCACUAUAAGCAAUGCUGGUAGUGAUAGGGAAAAAAAGAAAUAACAGUUCUGACAGAAUCACUUAUGAUUUGGUUGCACACACAAAGUAGCAAGGAAAAAAAACAGUGCUUAGACAAAUGAAAACUUCAUAAAUCAAACUGCUGAAUGAUUGCAAGGGAGGUGCAUACUUCCUCUUUCUGUUGCCCAUAGCAUUUGUCAUGUCAUCCUUCGGCAUAUUGGUGCUUGGAGUUCCCACACUGUUCAAGAAAGAAAAGGUACAAUUUCAGGUUUCAUUAAGACAGUGCUGACAGAAUCACAGCUGUUACUCUGUUAGAAUCUAUUGAGUCCAAAGUCUAAACAUGUAUAUAUGAAGUCUAAAUAUACAGGAUAUGCAAGUAACAACAAUUAUAAUGGGCAAAUAAACAUUGCACUGCCUGAAUUGCCAUGUCUACAUGGCAUUUAGCAAUGCAAACUGUACAGAAUGGAAAGAAAAUCUGAAGUAAACAAUGAUCAGUCUAUCCAAAUAUAGACUCAAAGAACAAUUUCACAUACAGGCACAACAUCUCGGCCUGGAGAAUGGCGCAACAUCUCUGCCUUGUUUCAGAAUUCAGAAACCAGGUUUGGUGCCUUCCAGCAGUGGGCUACCAUGCACACAGUACGUCCAUACCUAACCAGAUGGGCCAAAUAGAGGCGCAUCACCAAACCAAAUCAAUUUUCAUACUCCGUCCCUCCCAAAUUAUAAACUGUUUCGGUAUUACUAGAUUCAUAAGUUUUGUUACGUACCUAGAUAUACACUGUGCUUAGAUACAUAGUAAAUUCUAUGAAACUAAAAACCGCAAAAUGAUCUACAAUUUGGAACGGAAGAGUAGUAUGCAAGAAAUGUCAAAUGUGCUAUCGACAACCAGGUAAUUUGUUUCUGAAAGAGAGUAGGGUUCAGUUCAGAUAUAAUGCUCUUGGACCAGUGAGCAUCAGCAAGGGGCAAGUUGCCGAUGUCCCAGUCCAAUUCUAUCACACAACUUGCCUACUGGAUCAGCUUAUUUCUUUGUUGGGCAAGCAUAAUUUUCCCCGUAUAAAAAGGCCACACAACCUCAAGAGAAGAUAAUGAGGUAAUACUUGGUGUACAAUACACAUAUAAUUGCUCCGUUCUUCAAUAGACAGUUCAGGUGCAGAACCAGUCCGAAUUUAAGCAAAGACAGUUCAGGUGCAGAACCAGUCCGAAUUUAAGCAGGUUCAGACCAUACUCAGAAAGGUUAUGCUUGAUUAAAAUUCUAUUGAUAAGUAUUUAUACAUUAUAACUGAAGGUAAUACGUUUCCAGAUGGCGUCAAAUUGCUGCUAGUCAAAGCCUCAUAAAAAAGUUUAUUGGCAGAUCUCUUGGACUGUCAUAGUGCAUGCUCCCUGUCCCUGACAUUGUAACCCUGGUGUGAGAUCCUUAAGUAAUCUGUCACUGGAAUCACCAAUCCUAUCCGUAGACAAUUACUUAAACCUAAUUUGAAACAAAUAUUAACUAAAUGGGCCAAAGAAUGUGAAGCUAACUGAAUGCAGUCUGCAGCAGAACUAAGAACAAUGUCAGGGCUGAUUGCUCAUAGGCUGACAGCCACAGCAAAGAAAAAUGUCCCUGCAGAAUGAUCAUGGAACAAAGCUGGGGUUACUUACUAAACACGAAGAACUCUCUCCUUCCAAGCUUCUUGGUUCUUCCGUUCCAAUGCUCUGUGGUACACAUGAAAGCAUCUGAUCAAUUUAUGUGCAUAAUUCAUUUUCCAAUGAACAAGCAUUGGGUUUGCUGGAUGUGGCUCUGAUCAAGUUUCUUCCUUGACAUUUUGUCAAACACAUGGAAUGCACCAGACUUUUAAUUUUAUUGGGUCAAGAUUUUGCAGGGAAAAUUAUUCAAUCAAAGAAACAUUACAAUGGGAAAAUAUGUUGAAUGGGAGAGGAAACAAUAACUUGCAAAUACUGAAUUUCAUGCUAGAGUUGUAAGCCAAUGGCUAGGAAUCAAAUGCAAAUGGCAGUGGUUCAAUUCUAACCAAUUGAAACAUAUGCUUGCGAGGGAACCAACCUUCUUGAAGACAUUGCAAGAGUUGCAGAAGCAUCCCCU
rnacentral:lncRNA from 1 species